GAUGAACGCUCGCUCCAGGCUUAACACAUGCAAGUCGAGGGGCAGCAUGGUCUUAGCUUGCUAAGGCCGAUGGCGACCGGCGCACGGGUGAGUAACACGUAUCCAACCUGCCGUCUACUCUUGGACAGCCUUCUGAAAGGAAGAUUAAUACAAGAUGGCAUCAUGAGUCCGCAUGUUCACAUGAUUAAAGGUAUUCCGGUAGACGAUGGGGAUGCGUUCCAUUAGAUAGUAGGCGGGGUAACGGCCCACCUAGUCUUCGAUGGAUAGGGGUUCUGAGAGGAAGGUCCCCCACAUUGGAACUGAGACACGGUCCAAACUCCUACGGGAGGCAGCAGUGAGGAAUAUUGGUCAAUGGGCGCAGGCCUGAACCAGCCAAGUAGCGUGAAGGAUGACUGCCCUAUGGGUUGUAAACUUCUUUUAUAAAGGAAUAAAGUCGGGUAUGUAUACCCGUUUGCAUGUACUUUAUGAAUAAGGAUCGGCUAACUCCGUG
rnacentral:rRNA from 1 species